UAACUGAAGAGUUUGAUCAUGGCUCAGAUUGAACGCUGGCGGCAGGCUUAACACAUGCAAGUCGAGCGGGGAAGGUUGCUUCGGUAACUGACCUAGCGGCGGACGGGUGAGUAAUACUUAGGAAUCUGCCUAUUAAUGGGGGACAACAUCUCGAAAGGGAUGCUAAUACCGCAUACGCCCUACGG
rnacentral:rRNA from 1 species